UGUGAGACACCCCUUAUAUCUAGGCAAUGGAACAAAAUUAUGGUCAUGUGACCAUUAUAUUUACAAGCCCCUCCCAUUCUCCCCUUGCCAGGAAGGUGAACUUGGUGCUGUUGCUGUGGAAUAGAGUGGUUUCGGAGGUUUCUUGCACGUUGCCAUCUCUCUGUCCGAACUCCAGAGGCAACAUCCCUGGGAAGGGCUACAGCCUUCAAUAAAACUACAGUAGGGGAGUUCUUCGACAAUCUGGCUGUAGUGAUGGACAGGCACACAUUCCCUCCACACAUGAUUUACAAUGUAGAUGAAACCGGCGUCUUUAGAGUUCAAAAGCCAUGACAGGUUGUGACAGAGAAAGGAAAAAAGCAAGUUGGUUCUAUCAUAUCAUCUGAGAAAGAAAAUGAUGUGGCACAUGUUCCUAAAGGUGAUGUUGUGAAAAAGCUGCCUCAACCUAAUAGGCCUGGAGGAACCA